AGAGUUUGAUCCUGGCUCAGAACGUACGCUGGCGGCACGCCUAACACAUGCAAGUCGAACGAAGUAGCAAUACUUAGUGGCAGACGGGUGAGUAACAUGUAGGUAUCUGCCCUUUGGCCUGGAAUAACACGAGGAAGCUUGUGCUAAUACCGGAUAAGUCUUUACGGAGAAAGCUUUAUGCACCAUUGGAUGAGCCUGCACUUGAUUAGUUUGUUGGUGGGGUAAUGGCCUACCAAGACUGUGAUCAAUAGCUGAUUUGAGAGGAUGAUCAGCCACAUUGGGACUGAGACACGGCCCAAACUCCUACGGGAGGCAGCAGUGGGGAAUCUUGCACAAUGGAGGAAACUCUGAUGCAGCGAUGCCGCGUGAGUGAAGAAGGCCCUUGGGUUGUAAAGCUCUUUCGUCGGGGAAGAAAAUGACUGUACCCGAAUAAGAAGGUCCGGCUAACUUCGUGCCAGCAGCCGCGGUAAUACGAAGGGACCUAGCGUAGUUCGGAAUUACUGGGCUUAAAGAGUUCGUAGGUGGUUGAAAAAGUUAGUGGUGAAAUCCCAGAGCUUAACUCUGGAACUGCCAUUAAAACUUUUCAGCUAGAGUAUGAUAGAGGAAAGCAGAAUUUCUAGUGUAGAGGUGAAAUUCGUAGAUAUUAGAAAGAAUACCAAUUGCGAAGGCAGCUUUCUGGAUCAUUACUGACACUGAGGAACGAAAGCAUGGGUAGCGAAGAGGAUUAGAUACCCUCGUAGUCCAUGCCGUAAACGAUGUGUGUUAGACGUUGGAAAUUUAUUUUCAGUGUCGCAGGGAAACCGAUAAACACACCGCCUGGGGAGUACGACCGCAAGGUUAAAACUCAAAUGAAUUGACGGGGACCCGCACAAGUAGUGGAGCAUGUGGUUUAAUUCGAAGAUACGCGCAGAACCUUACCAACACUUGACAUGUUCGUCGCGACUCUAAGAGAUUAGAGUUUUCGGUUCGGCCGGACGAAACACAGGUGCUGCAUGGCUGUCGUCAGCUCGUGUCGUGAGAUGUUGGGUUAAGUCCCGCAACGAGCGCAACCCUCACUUUUAGUUGCCAUCAUUAAGUUGGGCACUCUGAAAGAACUGCCAGUGAUAAGCUGGAGGAAGGUGGGGAUGACGUCAAGUCCUCAUGGCCCUUACGUGUUGGGCUACACACGUGCUACAAUGGUAUCUACAACAGGAAGCAAGACUGCGAAGUUAAGCAAAUCCCUAAAAGAUACCUCAGUUCGGAUUGCACUCUGCAACUCGAGUGCAUGAAGCUGGAAUUACUAGUAAUCGUGGAUCAGCGUGCCACGGUGAAUGCGUUCCCGGGUCUUGUACACACCGCCCGUCACACCAUGGGAGUUGGUUCUACCUUAAGGCAAGGUUUAAAACCCUUGACCACGGUAUAGUCAGCGACUGGGGUGAAGUCGUAACAAGGUA
rnacentral:rRNA from 1 species